rnacentral:rRNA from 1 species
AGAGUUUGAUCCUGGCUCAGGACGAACGCUGGCGGCGCGCCUAACACAUGCAAGUCGAACGAGCGAGAGAGAGCUUGCUUUCUCGAGCGAGUGGCGAACGGGUGAGUAACGCGUGAGGAACCUGCCUCAAAGAGGGGGACAACAGUUGGAAACGACUGCUAAUACCGCAUAAGCCCACAGCUCGGCAUCGAGCAGAGGGAAAAGGAGCAAUCCGCUUUGAGAUGGCCUCGCGUCCGAUUAGCUAGUUGGUGAGGUAACGGCCCACCAAGGCGACGAUCGGUAGCCGGACUGAGAGGUUGAACGGCCACAUUGGGACUGAGACACGGCCCAGACUCCUACGGGAGGCAGCAGUGGGGAAUAUUGCACAAUGGGGGAAACCCUGAUGCAGCGACGCCGCGUGGAGGAAGAAGGUCUUCGGAUUGUAAACUCCUGUUGUUGAGGAAGAUAAUGACGGUACUCAACAAGGAAGUGACGGCUAACUACGUGCCAGCAGCCGCGGUAAAACGUAGGUCACAAGCGUUGUCCGGAAUUACUGGGUGUAAAGGGAGCGCAGGCGGGAAGGCAAGUUGGAAGUGAAAUCCAUGGGCUCAACCCAUGAACUGCUUUCAAAACUGUUUUUCUUGAGUAGUGCAGAGGUAGGCGGAAUUCCCGGUGUAGCGGUGGAAUGCGUAGAUAUCGGGAGGAACACCAGUGGCGAAGGCGGCCUACUGGGCACCAACUGACGCUGAGGCUCGAAAGUGUGGGUAGCAAACAGGAUUAGAUACCCUGGUAGUCCACACUGUAAACGAUGAUUACUAGGUGUUGGAGGAUUGACCCCUUCAGUGCCGCAGUUAACACAAUAAGUAAUCCACCUGGGGAGUACGACCGCAAGGUUGAAACUCAAAGGAAUUGACGGGGGCCCGCACAAGCAGUGGAGUAUGUGGUUUAAUUCGACGCAACGCGAAGAACCUUACCAAGUCUUGACAUCCUGCGACGCACAUAGAAAUAUGUGUUUCCUUCGGGACGCAGAGACAGGUGGUGCAUGGUUGUCGUCAGCUCGUGUCGUGAGAUGUUGGGUUAAGUCCCGCAACGAGCGCAACCCUUAUGGUCAGUUACUACGCAAGAGGACUCUGGCCAGACUGCCGUUGACAAAACGGAGGAAGGUGGGGAUGACGUCAAAUCAUCAUGCCCUUUAUGACUUGGGCUACACACGUACUACAAUGGCGUUAAACAAAGAGAAGCAAGACCGCGAGGUGGAGCAAAACUCAGAAACAACGUCCCAGUUCGGACUGCAGGCUGCAACUCGCCUGCACGAAGUCGGAAUUGCUAGUAAUCGCAGAUCAGCAUGCUGCGGUGAAUACGUUCCCGGGCCUUGUACUCACCGCCCGUCA